rnacentral:rRNA from 1 species
UACGGAGGAUCCGAGCGUUAUCCGGAUUUAUUGGGUUUAAAGGGUGCGCAGGCGGAAGAUUAAGUCGGUGGUGAAAUUUUGCAGCUCAACUGUAAAAGUGCCAUUGAUACUGGUUUUCUUGAGUGUGGAUGAAGUAGGCGGAAUUUGUGGUGUAGCGGUGAAAUGCAUAGAUAUCACGAGGAACUCCGAUUGCGCAGGCAGCUUACUAAACCAUAACUGACGCUCAGGCACGAAGGCGUGGGGAUCAAACAGGAUUAGAUACCCCCGUA